UAAAUGAGAAGGAUAUCCAAAAAAGAGGAGAUAUAUGUAUACCUGUGUCUGAUGCACUUUGCUGUAUGGCAGAAACAGCAUGGUAAAGCAACUAUACUCCAAAAAAUUUUAAAAAUAAAAUUGAAGUGGAAAGUGAAGGAGGGGCCUAUAUAAGUGUAUUUACUUGUGUACGCAGGCAGUGUCUCUUGGAAAAUACCCCCAAAUUUUAAAAAACAGUAACAGUGGUUACCUUCCGAGAGAACGUAUGGGUAGCUGAGGGUCUGGGUAUAGGAAUGAAAACAAGGAGAAGCCCUUCAAAUCUUCAGGCUGUGGGUGUGUCGGUAAGAUUAGGGGGUUAGACUCACUUAGAAGGGAGCAUGAAUCUAAAUGGCACAGGCUUCUUCAACGUAACAGUGGGUUUUAGGACAUGAUACCUUCAAAUACCUGAGGGAGAAAUUUUUUGUGUCCUAGAAGUUUUUAACCAACCAUCAAUCAUGUGCACAGGUAAGGACUCAAGAAGAAUGUCUGCCAUGCACCUCUCUUUGGGGAAUUGCUGGAUAAUGCACUUCAGAAAAACAAGGGAAAGAAAGCCCAUGGUUGAAAUAGCAAAUCCCACACAGAGAAAUUUCAAAAGUGAGUUCUAAGGGAAUUCCCUGGAGAUCCAGCGGUUAGGACUCUGCUCUCUCACUGCCAAGAGCUCUGGGUUCGAUCCCUGGUCUAGGAACUAAGAUCCCACAAGCAGUGCUGUGGGCCCCCCGCCACACACACACAAAAAUGAGUUCUAAGACAAAAGUGUCCCCACACCCUGUAGAUUGGAGCAAGAGGAAAUGAAGGCUUCAGAGAGAGGGGGGGGGCGGGUGGUAUGGAAAAUGAAAUGUUACCUGGGAUGCUUGGGGCUUUGGGGAAAAAAGAACUGCUGGCAAUCAGACGACAGGUCUAGCUGAGCAACUGAAGCCACAAUCAGUUAUUAGAAAACUAUACUGGGGGUGGGGGUGGGGCGGAAAUGAGACAAUUAUUGAUUCCAGAAAACAAAAGUGAUGCUAGGAAGGAAAUAAGUACCAAACACUAUCUGACUCUUCAAUUUUACAUAGGCAAUAAUGUAAACAUUGAUUAAAAUUGCCUUAUACGAUAAUGGAAGGGAGGAAAUGGGAGGUUGAGACUGCUAAAUCAUCACCUGUGAUAAUAGAAUGUUAAUCCUAUUAUCCACUUCUUCCUUUCAGUGAGACUGACAUCUAUUCUAAUGGCAUAUGAUGCAGCCCAUGCUUUUACAAUUUUCCCAAGGGUUGAAGAAAAUUUUUCACUGAAAGAAGCUCUCUGCUUUUAUACCACAGAAUUAUUCCCAGCCUACUUUGUGGAAGUAGAUUAAUCCUGCUGCUUUCUCCUGCUUCAGUUUUCAAAAAUGGUGAACAUAUCAAUCACAAAUGGCAUAUCUCAAGAUUUUAUAUGUAAACCCAAAACUUUAAGGAAUAUUUUUAACCAUCCAUUCUCUUAGUGCAAAAAUAUGGUCUUGAACCACUUUCAUCACUAUCAACUGGGGUACUACAGGAGGACAAAGAGGCAACAGAGGAUGAGAUGGUUGGAUGGCAUCAUUGACUCAAUGGACAUGAGUUUGAGCAAACUCCAGGAGAUAGUGAAGCGCAGGGAAGCCUGGUGUGCUGCAGUCCAUGGGGUCGCAAAGAGUUAGACACAACUUAGGGACUGAACAACAACAACUUUUUACAAAUAAGCAAAUUUCUGGUCCCUAACCAGAUUUAUUGAAUCAGAAUUCCUGAAAAGGACCAAGGAAUAUAAUUUUUCCCAUUGACCCAUAUGGUUCUUUACUCACAUGAGCAGAAUUUAGUUUUAUGUCUUGGGGUUUUAUUUCUCAAAGUCAGUGUAAGAUCCACACAUAUAAAAUCUCUGCCUGUUUUUUUUUUUUUUAUGCUAUUGAGGACAUUGUGUAUUUUAUUAUUCAGUGUUCUUCAGUGUUCACAGAAUGAAAUCUCUUUCAGAUUUUAGAGCUAAAGAAAAAGUUUUUCUCAUAUGAACUGGUCUGUUUCCUUUAUUAGUCUGUCUAUGUGUGCUUAGUCGCUCAGUUGUGUCCAACUUUUUGGGACCCAUGGACCAUAGCCUGCCAGACUCCUCUUUCCAUGGAAUUCUCCAGGCAAGAAUACUGGAGUGGGUAGCCAUUCCCUUCUCUGGGGGAUCUUCCUGACCCAGGGACAGAACCCAGGUCUCCUGCAUAGCUGGCAGAUUCUUUACCAUCUGAGCCACCAGGGAAGCCCUUUAUUAGUCUAAGACUUGUCAAAUUUGACUGAUUAUUAGAAUCACCUAGGGAACUUUGGGCUUCCCUGGUAGCUCAGACAGUAAAGCAUCUGCCUGCAAUGCUGGAGACCUGGGUUCGAUCCCUGGAUUGGGAAGAUCCCCUGGAGAAGGAAAUGGCAAUCCACUCCAGUACCUUGCCUGGAAAAUUCCAUGGAUGGAGGAGCCUGGUAGGCUCCAUGUGAUCGCAGAGUCGGACACGACUAAGCAACCUCACUGGUUGCAAGAAAGUGAGACUAAAUGAGAGGGAACUUUGAAAACAUACAUAGCUUCCCAGACCCACCAGUCUCCAGAUUUGGGAGGAUCCAUAGGAUAUUAAUAAUUAUCCAUGCUUCAUACACUCUGCAUGGGACAAAUAUCUUACUUAAUUCACCAUAUUCACACUUUGCCUUCUUGGAAGCUAGUUUUAAAGCAGUUUUUCUUGGAAUUCGGUUUUUUAAUAUAAUCAUUGUCCUUUUCUUCCCCUGUUUUAUUAAUUGUCUCAUUUAGUAUUUUUUCAUGAAUUUCAACUUCAGAGGAAAUAUUUUAUAAUAAUUCUAUUCCUUGGACCAGCACAUUCCCUGCAAUAGCAUUUAAGCCUAAAAUAAAUCACUUGUUAGGAUGAAGGACUAAGAGAUUGUUGUGAGUUCUUAAAAGUUUCAUCAUCCAGAGUGGAGACUUCAGGGAAAUUACUGUUAGAAAAGUACUCUGAAAACCAUUGUGAUUAAAUGCUGAUAUAUAAUUAAGAUCCUGAUUGCCCCGCUUCGGCCUCUUCACUACAGGCACUCCCAAGACUCAGUUUGUUGUUCCUCUUUCUUUUCUUCACCACUUCAAAGCGCUAAUCCAUUUAGUCGUGUUAACCAUCACCACCAAAUAUAUGCUAGAGCUUGAAUCUUUUGCUAUCAGCAGGAACUGUUCAUGCGGCUGUCUGACCAAGUCCAGACUUCAGUGUGAAGAAAUUCCAUCUGUCUAAUACUGGAACUCUUCUGCUUACUCCACAAUCUCAUAUUCCUGAUCACCUCCCCUUCCCAAAUCACCAUCUGGGUUAAAUAGCAUCACCACUCUCUCAUGUCCUCAGCCGAAUUUGUCCCUGAUUGCUCAUAUUUCUUUUAAUCCCUACACCACUUAGCAAGGGAAUAUUUACAUUAUCGUUUGAGGAUGUAGCUACCAUCUGAAGACCAAAGAAAAUGCUGGUGGGUGUGAGAGAUGCCCCAGAGUGAUAAACCGCCUAGGAAAUGAAAGGGGCUUGCUUCACAGGUGUGAAUACAGCCUGUCAUUUCUCUUACUUGGUCUCAGGGAUGUACCCCUAUCUCUUUCCUUCCCUGGCCUAGUGCUCAUUUCCUGAGUUAAAGCAAACUGCUACUGAUUGAUUUCCCUGAACGUGGCCUAUUCCUGUUUCCAUUCUUCAUGGUAGCGGUGGUGAUUGUAAUGGUUUAGGAAUAUUAUUUGUCCAAUCAGUUCCUCAUCUAUAAAGAUUGACAGUGGUACCUAACGGCACAACAAGGAGUUGUGAGUAUUAAAUGUUCAUUGUGUUUAGCGCAGUGCUUGGCACCCCAUAAAUGUUAGUUGCUAUUUAUUUUGUUAACAGAACACACUCACAUAUUCCCUAAUGAUUUCACUUGGGCUCACACCAAUUAAGCUCCACAAAGCACUGUAUUUGCUCUUUAGUAAAAUCUUACCAUAACUUUACAAGAUAAAAUGCACAUUCUUCAUCUUGGGAAUUAAAAUGUAGUAGUUGUAAAGUCUUAUGUUAUUUUACUGAGCAGAAGCUUCCUUAUUUGAAAUAGGGAAAACAUUAUGUUCCUGGUUGAUAUGAAGAUUAAAAUUAAUAAUGUAUAUCAACAGUGCUUGGGGGACUGCAAAGAAUUAUACACAUUUUAAUUGUUUUCACUUGUGCUGGAAGCUUUGCCUUUGAGCACAAGGGCUGAUGCAAACAGGGAAAUGGCUCCAAAGCAUCUUUGGCCACCACCCCAAGACCUUGGCUCUACUGGGCACCGAGCCAUAGACCAUUUUUCUGAUGGCUACAAGACAUCAUGUCAGCUCCACCAGUCAUGAAUUCCCUGAGGCAUAAGACCUUCUAAUUUUAGAAACAGUUGAGCAAAGCUUUUGGCACAGAACAAUGCACUCAUUAUCUCACACUCCUCAGGUGAACAUGAAUGACUGAGUGGCCUUCCUGUCAGAGGAGUUACCUGGCAGAACCAGUUUCUUCAGUGGAUUAUCACUGGAUCAUCACUUUCUGAAAGUUCAAGGUCAUCCUGGUAAGUAAAACUCCUGGACUGUUUAUAUUGAAGUAAGAAUGGAUCUGUCAGACAAACAGGUUGCCAGCACUGGGACUUUGGGCAAAUUACUUAACCUCUCUGAGCCUCAGUUUCCCCAUUUAAAAAUUUUAACAACUAUUUCAUAGGGUUUCUAUGAAAACUAAAUGAUGUAACCUGGAGCAUAGUAGUCAUGCAACAAAUAUUAGUUUCUCAUUUUCCAUCCUUCUGUCCCCUAGGAGAUGGCAAAACCCAACAGUUACAUUUUAGUUCUUCCUUUUAUUAGACAUAUGCUUGUUGUACUUACUUUCACAUCAUCUCAGAACUGUUUUUUUUUCCCCCUUUUUAAUAUGUGUCUUGUACAACCAACUAGAAAUAACUCUUUGGAGGGCAAAGAUCAUCCUUCCGUUUCUUCUAUAUUCCUCAUAAUUACAGCAACCCCAUGCCACAGUUUUUCCUGGACAGACUCAAACAAUUUUCUCUUUAUUCUUUUUUAAAUUAUUAAAAAUAUCCUGGGGUCCAAGUGACACUUGCCAAAACAUCACUUACCCAGAACAUAACACCUGUACACAUAGGAGCCAGCACCAUGCUGGAACCAUGACGGCUGCCAGAGGUGGACACGCCUGAGCAGUCAGUCUGCUUAAGAGAGGUCUCUAGAGCCCUAAGGGCCUCACAAGACCACUUUCCCCGCCACCAUGUCCCACCUUCAGAGGAUUUCAGGGCAGUCCCCCCUCCCCCCAGUAAGCCUCUGAAGCAGCCAACCCUAAAAAGGAAGCUAAAAUUAGAGCUGAUUCCCCAUUCUCCCCUAAAUGGCCACCUGGGUAAUCGCCCAUGCAGCAGGAUGCUCUCCACCUGAGUCCCCUUGAGGCAAGUCUCCAGCAUCAACCACCACCAGCACAUCCUCCCCCACGUGGCUUUUCCUCCCCUUAUUUGACUUAUGCUAACCUCCCCACUCUUCACCCUUCCACUGCAUCCCCUGGCACCCCAACUGUGCCAGAUCCUUUACAACUCCCCACCCUCUUUUGCAUAUUUUCUUCACCCUCUUGCAUGGAAACCUGGUGCAGCUUAACUGGAAACAAACCUGCUCUCCCUCCCACACCUUGCCCGCCACAGAGCCGAGGGGAGGAGUGGGUGUUCCCGUGGCCCUCGCUACUGCUCACAGACAGCUCUCUGUCAUCUCAAAACCCCCACCUCUCUGGAAGCCCAUGCCCUCCAACUAUACCACCCACUGUCCUCCACCCCACCACCAUCACCCACUCACCAAGCUCCCAACUCCUCUUCAUCCUCUUCAUUCAUGCCAGACGUCAGCACCUGGCUCCUUCACUGGCUCCCUUCUGUUCUGCUCCUCAACUC